rnacentral:rRNA from 1 species
AGUGAACGCUGGCGGUAGGCCUAACACAUGCAAGUCGAACGGCAGCACAGUAAGAGCUUGCUCUUACGGGUGGCGAGUGGCGGACGGGUGAGGAAUACAUCGGAAUCUACUUUUUCGUGGGGGAUAACGUAGGGAAACUUACGCUAAUACCGCAUACGACCUACGGGUGAAAGCAGGGGAUCUUCGGACCUUGCGCGAUUGAAUGAGCCGAUGUCGGAUUAGCUAGUUGGCGGGGUAAAGGCACACCAAGGCGACGAUCCGUAGCUGGUCUGAGAGGAUGAUCAGCCACACUGGAACUGAGACACGGUCCAGACUCCUACGGGAGGCAGCAGUGGGGAAUAUUGGACAAUGGGCGCAAGCCUGAUCCAGCCAUACCGCGUGGGUGAAGAAGGCCUUCGGGUUGUAAAGCCCUUUUGCUGGGAAAGAAAAGCAGCAGGUUAAUACCCCGCUGUUCUGACGGUACCCAAAGAAUAAGCACCGGCUAACUUCGUG